rnacentral:lncRNA from 1 species
GGCCUCAAGAGGCGACCUCCGUUCGGGCCCAUCCAAGCCGGGCCGCAUCCAGCCCGCCGCCUCCCUCUCCCUCUGCCCGGCGUCCACGACCCGCAGCGUCCGCCCGGGGUGAGCGGGGCGCCGCGUCUCACCGAAUUUAAGGCGAAGAGGAAAGAGCCAGAAAUCCCCGAUGUACCGGCAACUGCGGCGGUGUCUCCUCUGCGACCGGAACUAACGCCAGGAGGAGGGAGAGGUGCCACCCCCGCCCGGACCGCUCUCCUAUCGCGAGAUUUCUUCCCCUUGCCCCGCCCUGAUCGUGGACAGGCGCUUCCGCCUUUUCUAUUGCGCGCGGAUUAGGAGCGAAGAGGACACAGGCCGAAGAUUGAGAAGGGGAAAUUCUGUCCUCCAACCGCGGUCCCUGCGCGCUGCAGCGGUUGUCUCCCGAGUGUGGUGGCUAUGGGGACUUGGAGAGCAUCAGAAUCCCUUGGAGGACUUGUUAUAACAGACUGCUGGGCCCCACCCGUAGUUUCUCAUUCUGUAGGCCUGGUGUGGAACCCAUGAAUGUGCAUUUCCAACAAGUUAUCUGUGAUGCUGCUGCUGGUCCGCACCUUGAGAACCCCUCAGUUAGAGGCUAUAUCAUCAGGGAGCUGGGGUACGAUCAGAUUAGAUAGUGCGUGUGAAAAGCACUGUGGACGUGACAAAACUCUGUGCAGAUAAAGAUGCACAGCGCCUCUAGGAUGUAGCCCCAUGUUUUUAUUCACUGUACAGUAGUUUACUUCUCUCCAGUUGCUUCCUCACUCUCUGGUAGGAGGAGAGUGGCUUCUCUUCCCUAAACCUUUUGAUAAAAUAGUUUGUUGACUUCUUUUCCCUAAUUAACUAUCUGACCUCUACCCCACCCCCCCGCAACUUCAUGGAAAAAUGACUUUCUCAGCGUUCGUUCCUGAAAUUAUUGCCAAACCCAGUGUUUUAUUCUUCACCCUGUUUGCCUCCUCUGAGCAUUGAAUGUUACCUACCUCUCUCCUUGAAUCCUGGCUCCAGCUAUCCUGGUUACGUUCUGAAUGUGCCUUUGCACGGUAUUUUCUGACUCUUCUUUUCUGUACUGAUACCUUUUCUUUCUGGAUACUUUCUUCUAUGGCAGUCUCAUACAUUCUCAAGGAUUUAACAUUUACUCCACUUAAAAGAGUUCCAAGAUCAUCUACUGAAUCAUUAAGCAAAUAUUUGUUAAAUCCAGGCUCUAUGCCCUUCCAAGUUGAGGCAACAGCAGUGGGAAGGAGGCAGGAAACAAACUGCAUCUGUUGGAGGAACUGCAAGAAGCUAGUGUGAUUGGGAGGGCUGUGGGGAGCAGAGGGAAGUGGCUGGAGUCUGAUCUCUAAGUGUCUAGCCCCUUCCUUUCUCCCAAGGCCCCAGUCCACACUAUCUGGCAUCUUCACUUCAUGGCUAAUUUAACACUGUCAGUGCUGUCAAUUGCUCUUCCCCCAGAACUGUAUUUUUCACAUCUGAAGUUCUGUUAAAGGACAACGUUUCACAAAUAAAAAUGAUAACUAAUAUGUCCCUAUAUGUAUCAGGCCCUCUUCUAUGCACUUUAUGUAGUAACCCCAUUUCAUCCUGAAAACUACCCUGUAAUCUAGACACUAUUAUUAGUCCCAUUUUACAGAUGGAAAAGCCGAGGCAUCGAGGUCAGGUAACUUGUCUAAGAUCAUAGCGCUAGUAAGUGGAAGAGGUCCAGUUGAACCCAAGCAGUCUGGCUUCACCAUUAUAAUGCACCGCCUUACCACCAAGAUCUUAUUUAUUCAUUCAACAAAUAUUUAUUCAGCUAGAGACCAGUAGAGAUAGUGACAUGUUACGCCUAUGGCCUCACAAAGCUUAUCUUCUAUUUUUGCCACGUUUUAAAAUUGUAUCAUCUUUCCCCAGUACCAUCUUGAUUUAGGCAUCUAUUACCCCUAACUAAAUGGGACUUUUGCAAUAACUUCCUAACUGUACUAUCCCCUUUCUCAACAUUUCCAGAGCAAUCUUCUCAACUGCAAGCUGAAUCAUUUCUCUUCACUGUUUAAAUGCCUCUGUUUAUACUCAGGGAUAGCUCUGACCAAUGUUUUUCACCUUUACUUCCCAUCACAUUUGUGGUUCUUAACCUGUUAUUACCAUCAUUGUGGGGUAUGUAGCAAAUGAUUUUUGACUAAAAAUGAUAUUAAAGUAAGCAGAUUAUUUUCUUUAAAAUGUAAAGUGGAUUAAAGGUUUUCCUGAACUCCUGGCCUCAAAUAAUCCUCCCACCUUGGCCUCCUGAAGUGUUGGGAUUACAGACCACACCUUGCCACUUAUCUUUUCUCUGCUUUUGGGUGCACCCAUGGGAAUAGGCACCGUGCAGCUAGCAGGGGAAACGUUGUUUGUGAAUUGUAUUAUGGUAGGAAAAGGUUCCAAACAAUUGAACUCUAUGCUUUGGUCAGACAGGACACAUCUUGUCUUGACCUUUCUUGAGAUGUCCUUCCCUCAUUUUCCACUGUCAAAAUCCCACUAUUGUUUCAAGCCUUAUCUCAACUACUGCUUUUUUCCCAUAAGCCUUUCUUAGUCAUGGAUGUGAACACAUUCCUUCUUUGUAAUUGGGCUACAGGC